CAGCAGCCACGGUAAUACGAAGGGUGCAAGCGUUAAUCGGAAUUACUGGGCGUAAAGCGCACGUAGGCGGCUUGGUAAGUUAGAGGUGAAAGCCUGGAGCUCAACUCCAGAAUUGCCUUUAAGACUGCCGAGCUAGCAGGUGAGAGAGGUAAGUGGAAUUCCGAGUGUAGAGGUGAAAUUCGUAGAUAUUCGGAGGAACACCAGUGGCGAAGGCGGCUUACUGGCUCAUACUGGACGCUGAGGUGCGAAAGCGUGGGGAGCAAACAGGAUUAGAUACCCCGGUAGUCCCUGUCUCUUAUAC
rnacentral:rRNA from 1 species